rnacentral:rRNA from 1 species
AGAGUUUGAUCAUGGCUCAGAUUGAACGCUGGCGGCAGGCCUAACACAUGCAAGUCGAACGGUAACAGGAAGCAGCUUGCUGCUUUGCUGACGAGUGGCGGACGGGUGAGUAAUGUCUGGGAAACUGCCUGAUGGAGGGGGAUAACUACUGGAAACGGUAGCUAAUACCGCAUAACGUCGCAAGACCAAAGAGGGGGACCUUCGGGCCUCUUGCCAUCGGAUGUGCCCAGAUGGGAUUAGCUAGUAGGUGGGGUAACGGCUCACCUAGGCGACGAUCCCUAGCUGGUCUGAGAGGAUGACCAGCCACACUGGAACUGAGACACGGUCCAGACUCCUACGGGAGGCAGCAGUGGGGAAUAUUGCACAAUGGGCGCAAGCCUGAUGCAGCCAUGCCGCGUGUAUGAAGAAGGCCUUCGGGUUGUAAAGUACUUUCAGCGGGGAGGAAGGCGACAGGGUUAAUAACCCUGUCGAUUGACGUUACCCGCAGAAGAAGCACCGGCUAACUCCGUGCCAGCAGCCGCGGUAAUACGGAGGGUGCAAGCGUUAAUCGGAAUUACUGGGCGUAAAGCGCACGCAGGCGGUCUGUCAAGUCGGAUGUGAAAUCCCCGGGCUCAACCUGGGAACUGCAUUCGAAACUGGCAGGCUAGAGUCUUGUAGAGGGGGGUAGAAUUCCAGGUGUAGCGGUGAAAUGCGUAGAGAUCUGGAGGAAUACCGGUGGCGAAGGCGGCCCCCUGGACAAAGACUGACGCUCAGGUGCGAAAGCGUGGGGAGCAAACAGGAUUAGAUACCCCGGUAGUCC